GGAGGGUGCAAGCGUUAWUCGGAAUUACUGGGCGUAAAGCGCACGCWGGCGGUUUGUUAAGUCAGAUGUGAAAUCCCCGGGCUCAACCUGGGAACUGCAUCUGAUACUGGCAAGCUUGAGUCUCGUAGAGGGGGGUAGAAUUCCAGGUGUAGCGGUGAAAUGCGUAGAGAUCUGGAGGAAUACCGGUGGCGAAGGCGGCCCCCUGGACGAAGACUGACGCUCAGGUGCGAAAGCGUGGGGAGCAAACAGGAUUAGAUACCCUGGUAGUCCACGCCGUAAACGAUGUCGACUUGGAGGUUGUGCCCUUGAGGCGUGGCUUCCGGAGCUAACGCGUUAAGUCGACCGCCUGGGGAGUACGGCCGCAAGGUUA
rnacentral:rRNA from 1 species